ensembl:lncRNA
UGUAUAUAGCCUCCACAUUGACUCUGUACCGGUACCACCUGUAUAUAGCCUCCGCAUUGACUCUGUACCAGUACCCCCUGUAUAUAGCCUCCACAUUGACUCUGUACCGGUACCCCCUGUAUAUAGCCUCCACAUUGACUCUGUACCAGUACCCCUGUAUAUAGCCUCCACAUUGACUCUGUACCAGUACCCCCUGUAUAUAGCCUCCACAUUGACUCUGUACCGGUACCCCCUGUAUAUAGCCUCCACAUUGACUCUGUACCAGGACCCCUGUAUAUAGCCUCCACAUUGACUCUGUACCAGGACCCCUGUAUAUAGCCUCCACAUUGACUCUGUACCGGUACCCCCUGUAUAUAGCCUCC